rfam:Musa acuminata subsp. malaccensis Doubled-haploid Pahang (DH-Pahang) genomic chromosome, chr5
UAGUUACUAUGAUGUUGGCCCGGCUCACUCAGAGUGCACCAUUUUUGGGCAAUGCAAAGCCCUAAGACCUUGUUAUCUGAUUGAGCCGUGCCAAUAUCUUAGUACUCUUU